rnacentral:rRNA from 1 species
GACAGAGGGUGCAAACGUUGUUCGGAUUUACUGGGCGUAAAGCGCGUGUAGGCGGCUUGGCAAGUCGGCUGUGAAAGCCCACGGCUCAACCGUGGAAGCGCAUCCGAAACUGCUUCGCUCGAGUCUCGGAGAGGAAGGUGGAAUGCUUGGUGUAGAGGUGAAAUUCGUAGAUAUCAAGCAGAACACCUGCGGCGAAGGCGGCCUGCUGGACGAUGACUGACGCUGAGACGCGAAAGCGUGGGGAGCAAACAGG